AGUCGUGCGUCUCCAAGCCAUGAUAGAGACGCGGCACACAGCUCAGUAACACGUGGCUAACUUGCCCUUGGGACGGAAACAACCCCGGGAAACUGGGGCUAAUUUCCGAUAGGUGAAGACUCCUGGAAUGGAUCUUCGCCUAAAUGGCGUUUAGACCAUGCUUCUAGAUGUUGCCCAAGGAUAGGGCCGCGACCGAUCAGGUUGUUGGUGAGGUAAUGGCUCACCAAGCCUUUGACUGGUACGGGCCGUGAGAGCGGGAGCCCGGAGAUGGGCACUGAGACAAGGGCCCAGGCCCUACGGGGCGCAGCAGUCGCGAAGACUUCGCAAUACGCGAAAGCGUGACGGGGCUAUCCCGAGUGCCGUCCGCUGAGGAUGGCUUUUCCCUAGUGUAGAUAGCUGGGGGAAUAAGGAGAGGGCAAGUCUGGUGUCAGCCGCCGCGGUAAUACCAGCUCUCCGAGUGGUGUGGAUGUUUAUUGGGCCUGAAGCAUCCGUAGCCGGCUGGGCAAGUCCCCUGUUAAAUCCAGCGAUUCAAUCGUUGGAUUGCGGGGGAUACUGUCUGGCUAGGGGGCGAGAGAGGCCGACGGUAUCCCGGGGUAGGGGUGAAAUCCUAUAAUCCCGGGAGGACCACCAGUGGCGAAGGCUGUCGGCUAGAACGUGCCCGACGGUGAGGGAUGAAAGCUGGGGGAGCGAACCGGAUUAGAUACCCGGGUAGUCCCAGCUAUAAACGAUGCAGGCUAGGUGUUAGGGCGGUCACGUGCCGCUCUAGUGCCGCAGGGAAGCUGUUAAGCCUGCCGCCUGGGGAGUACGGCCGCAAGGCUGAAACUUAAAGGAAUUGGCGGGGGAGCACCACAAGGGGUGAAGCUUGCGGUUUAAUUGGAGUCAACGCCGGAAAUCUCACCGGGGGCGACAGCAGUGUGAAGGCCAGAUUAAAGGUCUUGCCAGACGAGCUGAGAGGAGGUGCAUGGCCGUCGCCAGUUCGUGCCGUGAGGUGUCCUGUUAAGUCAGGCAACGAUCGAGACCCGCAUCCCCCGUUGCUGAGAUCAUAUCAAAGCACUCUGGGGAGACCGCCGCCGAUAAGGCGGAGGAAGGAGCGGGCCACGGCAGGUCAGUAUGCCCCGAAUCUCCCGGGCCACACGCGAGCUGCAAUGGCAGGUACAAUGGGUUCCAACCUUGAAAGGGGAUGGAAAUCCCUAAAGCCUGCCGUAGUUGGGAUCGAGGGUUGAAACUCACCCUCGUG
rnacentral:rRNA from 1 species